GUUCGGGGCAAAGGAAGCCGUGAGCGGCCCCGGCCUCUGGUUCGGUCGUCACGGUGACCCUUUUAGACCGGAUUUCCCAUCCCGCUCUGGCCGAGGCCUUGGGAGGCUACUGCUCUUAAGGUCUUUUGUGGGGAGGCCUGACAUUGAAACCAGAGCAAAACACCCAAACAGCCGUGACAGGAGAAGUCCACGCCCUGCACUUCUUUAACACUCAUGUCAGGGGGGAAACCGAAACAUAAGGGAUCAGUCAAACCCGUAAAGAAUUCUUGUGAGUUUAUCUGAGCCAAACUGUCAACCAUUGCCGGGAAGCAGAACCUCCCCGCGCUGGGACAAUGCUCGGGAGAAGAGUGGUUCCCACCUAUUUUUGUAAAUUACCCCCAAAGGAGGGGGACCUGGUUCCCUGAAACCCGCCGGUGAUAGAUGAGGGGGCGGGAGAAAGCAGAGCAGGGGAACCUCGGGGAUUGGGUAAAAAGUGAAAUGAUGGACACAUGCACCUUUUACAUACGUGGGUGCAGGGCCGUCAACAGUCAACAACAACCUAACAGUAAGUCACCCUGUUCCGCAGGUUUGUUAUCUGGACGCAGAGAGACAACAGGCUCAGCGAGGAUCGGAGUUGAUCUUGAUGUGACUGCCCACCACGAACUGCUUUCUACUGGAAGGUUUUAGUUCCAGGCCACCCUUUGUGGUGACUGAGUUUGCCAGGGCCUCCACGCAGGCCUCCUCUGCGUUUCUGAGAAAUGUCACCGGGGGUCCUUUCUAAGCAUAAAUAUGGCAGGUGCGACGUGUAUUUGAGCUGUUUUCUCCAGGACAUAUCACAGAAAGUCAUAAGAGGACACAGAAGAGGACUUUCUCCCAUUGAAAUGGCUACCACGAAAGGGAGAGAGGACCGGCAGAGAGAUGUGGAUUUGUCGUUCCUACUGCACUACCCGGCCUGGGCCCAGGCAGGUUCCUCAGUUCCUCUUGGGAAAAAAAGGACACAAAUAAGGCGAAAAUGGCGCAGGAACUCUCCCGUGGGUGGGCUCGAAAUCAGAAACAAGGCCAGAGUCCCGGAGGUCUGUCACAAGUAAAACCAAGUUGGACCACGCGCGCUGUCAGAUGGGAUUAACAUCACCUCCACUGCCGCGCGGCGGGCGAUGACUCAGAGGCCGAGG